UACGGGAGGCAGCAGUGAGGAAUAUUGGUCAAUGGACGAGAGUCUGAACCAGCCAAGUAGCGUGCAGGAUGACGGCCCUAUGGGUUGUAAACUGCUUUUAUAAGGGAAUAAAGUGAGUCUCGUGAGACUUUUUGCAUGUACCUUAUGAAUAAGGACCGGCUAAUUCCGCGCCAGCAGCCGCGGUAAUACGGAAGGUCCGGGCGUUAUCCGGAUUUAUUGGGUUUAAAGGGAGCGUAGGCCGGAGAUUAAGCGUGUUGUGAAAUGUAGACGCUCAACGUCUGCACUGCAGCGCGAACUGGUUUCCUUGAGUACGCACAAAGUGGGCGGAAUUCGUGGUGUAGCGGUGAAAUGCUUAGAUAUCACGAAGAACUCCGAUUGCGAAGGCAGCUCACUGGAGCGCAACUGACGCUGAAGCUCGAAAGUGCGGGUAUCGAACAGGAUUAGAUACCCUGGUAGUCCGCACGGUAAACGAUGGAUGCCCGCUGUUGGUCUGAAUAGGUCAGCGGCCAAGCGAAAGCAUUAAGCAUCCCACCUGGGGAGUACGCCGGCAACGGUGAAACUCAAAGGAAUUGACGGGGGCCCGCACAAGCGGAGGAACAUGUGGUUUAAUUCGAUGAUACGCGAGGAACCUUACCCGGGCUUGA
rnacentral:rRNA from 1 species